rnacentral:rRNA from 1 species
GGAAUAUUGGUCAAUGGCGGCAACGCUGAACCAGCCAAGUAGCGUGAGGGAUUACGGCCCUACGGGUCUUAAACCUCUUUUGUUGGGGAGCAACCUGUGCCACUUGUGGCACACUGCGAGUACCCUUCGAAUAAGCAUCGGCUAACUCCGUGCCAGCAGCCGCGGUAAUACGGAGGAUGCGAGCGUUAUCCGGAUUUAUUGGGUUUAAAGGGAGCGCGGACGGGAGAUUAAGUCAGCUGUUAAAUGGCGGCGCCCAACGCCGUCCUGCGGUUGAUACUGGUUUCCUUGAGUGCGGCAUGGGCAGGCGGAAUUCACGGUGUAGCGGUGAAAUGCUUAGAUAUCGUGAAGAACUCCGAUCGCGAAGGCAGCCUGCCGGACCGUUACUGACGUUUAGGCUCGAAAGUGCGGGUAUCAAACA